rnacentral:rRNA from 2 species
UGGGGAAUAUUGCACAAUGGGCGCAAGCCUGAUGCAGCCAUGCCGCGUGUAUGAAGAAGGCCUUCGGGUUGUAAAGUACUUUCAGCGGGGAGGAAGGGAGUAAAGUUAAUACCUUUGCCCAUUGACGUUACCCGCAGAAGAAGCACCGGCUAACUCCGUGCCAGCAGCCGCGGUAAUACGGAGGGUGCAAGCGUUAAUCGGAAUUACUGGGCGUAAAGCGCACGCAGGCGGUUUGUUAAGUCAGAUGUGAAAUCCCCGGGCUCAACCUGGGAACUGCAUCUGAUACUGGCAAGCUUGAGUCUCGUAGAGGGGGGUAGAAUUCCAGGUGUAGCGGUGAAAUGCGUAGAGAUCUGGAGGAAUACCGGUGGCGAAGGCGGCCCCCUGGACGAAGACUGACGCUCAGGUGCGAAAGCGUGGGGAGCAAACAGG